rnacentral:rRNA from 1 species
GAUGAACGCUGGCGGCGUGCCUAAUACAUGCAAGUCGAGCGAACGGACGAGAAGCUUGCUUCUCUGAUGUUAGCGGCGGACGGGUGAGUAACACGUGGAUAACCUACCUAUAAGACUGGGAUAACUUCGGGAAACCGGAGCUAAUACCGGAUGAUAUUUUGAACCGCAUGGUUCAAAAGUGAAAGACGGUCUUGCUGUCACUUAUAGAUGGAUCCGCGCUGCAUUAGCUAGUUGGUAAGGUAACGGCUUACCAAGGCAACGAUGCAUAGCCGACCUGAGAGGGUGAUCGGCCACACUGGAACUGAGACACGGUCCAGACUCCUACGGGAGGCAGCAGUAGGGAAUCUUCCGCAAAGGGCGAAAGCCUGACGGAGCAACGCCGCGUGAGUGAUGAAGGUCUUCGGAUCGUAAAACUCUGAUAUUAGGGAAGAACAUAUGUGUAAGUAACUGUGCACAUCUUGACGGUACCUAAUCAGAAAGCCACGGCUAACUACGUG